UGGGGAAUUUUGGACAAUGGGCGAAAGCCUGAUCCAGCAAUGCCGCGUGUGUGAAGAAGGCCUUCGGGUUGUAAAGCACUUUUGUCCGGAAAGAAAUCCUUGGCUCUAAUACAGUCGGGGGAUGACGGUACCGGAAGAAUAAGCACCGGCUAACUACGUGCCAGCAGCCGCGGUAAUACGUAGGGUGCAAGCGUUAAUCGGAAUUACUGGGCGUAAAGCGUGCGCAGGCGGUUUGCUAAGACCGAUGUGAAAUCCCCGGGCUCAACCUGGGAACUGCAUUGGUGACUGGCAGGCUAGAGUAUGGCAGAGGGGGGUAGAGUUCCACGUGUAGCAGUGAAAUGCGUAGAGAUGUGGAGGAAUACCGAUGGCGAAGGCAGCCCCCUGGGCCAAUACUGACGCUCAUGCACGAAAGCGUGGGGAGCAAACAGGAUUAGAUACCCUGGUAGUCCACGCCCUAAACGAUGUCAACUAGUUGUUGGGGAUUCAUUUCCUUAGUAACGUAGCUAACGCGUGAAGUUGACCGCCUGGGGAGUACGGUCGCAAGAUUAAAACUUAAAUGAAUUGACGGGGUCAUAGCUG
rnacentral:rRNA from 1 species